rnacentral:tRNA from 1 species
GGCAGGCUGGCAUUGGUUGGAGCCACCCGGACUGUAAAUCCGGCGUCUAUGACUGUGUAAGUUCAAAUCUUACCCUGCCC